rnacentral:piRNA from 1 species
UCCAAGGACUACAUUCUUUCUCUGAUG